rnacentral:lncRNA from 1 species
UAGACAAAGCAAAGUUCACCGUGGUGCAUGUGGAUGGAUACAUAUACAGCCACGGUGAAUCAUAGAGAAUUAUAAUAUUGUCCCUAUCAUAUUCGGAUUGCACAUACAUAUUGUGGACGGACAUUAUCUCAGCUAGAAGGACAAAGAACGACAACAACAUCAGCAGCAAUGGCAGAUGGUAUCAGAGACUUCAGUGGCAAAAUUCUAAGAAACACUGAUCCACUGUUUACCAAUAUUGCUGAAAACUACCCAUCCGGCAAUUACACGUCAUUCUGCAAUGAGUUUGGAGUUGGAUUCAACUUAGCUAAGCAAAUAUUAAGAGUUGAAAACAUGGGAAAUCAAACGGCAGCCUUGAAACAAGUACUUAAUAAAUGGUUAAGCGAGGGAAAAGACGUGACCAGAGAAAAGCUUGAAUCGGCACUCACAAAUGCACAAACAGGAGGACUCAUAAGCAUUGUCGAGAAGAAUUUUGCAACAUAUGCAGAACAGGAAGAAUCAGCUUGAGGUGGUGGAAACACUCAAUCGGGUGGCAUUACGAUCAGUGCAUCUGGAAGUGCGACCAUCCAGAAUAAUACGGUUACUGGGCAGACUAACAACAUUACUCAUAAUUAGGAAAAUGGUAGCAGCCGACUAAAAUAAAUGUAAAUUUAAAAGAAGAACUAAAGUAGCCGAUACCAAAUAUUUAAAGCCCAACAUGUUUUACACUUGCUAUAUCACACGGGGAACACUAUUCUUUUCCUCAAAAUUGUAACUUUUGGACUUAAAAUAGAUAAAUAGAAGAUUUGAUUUCAACCGAUUUUCUUCCGUUAGACGUACACGUAUGUCUAUUAUGUAUAAAGACAAGAUUAUAUAGAACAAUUUUGAUGUAGAUAGCAAAUUACAAUGAUCCAGAAUAUUGUUUUCCUCUCGAUUUGUAUAAUUUCUUUCUCAGCUCUCGCGCCUCCAUACUAGAGUUGUGAUAGAGUGCCAUGCGGCGCAUAAUACUCAUACUCACUAAUAAUUUAUUUAGAAUUAGAGUAAUGUUUAGAGCAGGCUCGAGAUCGUGUCUCAUAUAAAGGAAAUUAAUUGUGAUUUAUGUCUACCUGUAUUAUUACGGAGAUGAUGGGAAAACAAAAUCAUUCACAUUUCAUGAACCUGGCGGGAAACUUGUCAGAAAUGGUCAGUUUUAUUUUAUCAUGCAUAAAUCAUUAUCCCGGUAGUUUUACUGACUAUGGACUUCACUCGAAAAAAAAUUCAAACAAAACACUUUUCUCUUGGCAGUUGUCUAGUUUCCUUCCAUCAUGACCAUGUUUCGAUAUUACAGAACAAAUUAAGGCAUCUCAAUGAUUAUUCAUUAUCAGGUUUUUAUUUUAAUGUUCACAUCCAACAUUGCAUGUUAUCUGAUUAUAUAUUUAGAAUUUUGUUAAAUAUAUUUUAAUAUUAAGAGUGCCUCUAUUCAAUUGGAAAAUAAUAUGCUUAAUCUUUAUAGAAGAUAGAGGGGUUGUACUAGGUCAUAUAUUUAUACUUAUUGCUAUUAUUCCUGGUUGUAUCUUAGUUUGUUCCCAAUAAAAUCUUGUUGCAGAGAUGUACAAUGUAGUGUUAUUUGGUUUGCUUUGAAAUUUGUUUUGACGAGAAUUUAAAUAACGAUGUAACUAAUCGGCGGAGUAUAUUUUGUUAUCUUUUAUAUAAGCUUUAGAGAGUGUUUGCCCUAGGGGGUAGUUGUCCUAGGGGUAGUUGAUUGGGGGUGGUUAUCCGGGGCGGGAUGUCCAGGGGGAAGGUGUCCUUGAACCGCUCAGACAGCUCACACAUUAUCAGACCUGUGUGCUUUCAUAUCCGGACACCUACCCACUGGAA